rnacentral:ncRNA from 2 species
UCAUUGCACUGGGGGUGCCCGUUCCGGGCUGAGAUGAGAGCGUUGCUCCGAUCCCUUUGAACUCGAUCAGGUUAGGACCUGCGUGAGGAAGUGCGGCGAGUUUCAU